CACGUAGGCGGACUGGAAAGUUGGAGGUGAAAUCCCAGGGCUCAACCUUGGAACUGCCUUCAAAACUAUCAGUCUGGAGUUCGAGAGAGGUGAGUGGAAUUCCGAGUGUAGAGGUGAAAUUCGUAGAUAUUCGGAGGAACACCAGUGGCGAAGGCGGCUCGCUGGCUCGAUACUGACGCUGAGGUGCGAAAGCGUGGGGAGCAAACA
rnacentral:rRNA from 1 species